rnacentral:rRNA from 1 species
UACAGAGGGUGCGAGCGUUGUCCGGAAUCACUGGGCGUAAAGGGCGCGUAGGCGGCUUGCCAAGCGUGUGGUGAAAGCCCGGAGCUCAACUCCGGGUCUGCCAUGCGAACUGGCAGGCUUGAGCACGGUAGAGGCCAAUGGAAUUCCGGGUGUAGCGGUGGAAUGCGUAGAGAUCCGGAAGAACACCGGUGGCGAAGGCGGUUGGCUGGGCCGUAGCUGACACUGAGGCGCGACAGCGUGGGGAGCAAACAGG